UACGAAGGGGGCUAGCGUUGUUCGGAAUCACUGGGCGUAAAGGGCGCGUAGGCGGCUUUAUAAGUCGGGGGUGAAGGCCUGUGGCUCAACCACAGAAUUGCCUUCGAUACUGUAUGGCUUGAGACCGGAAGAGGUAAGUGGAACUGCGAGUGUAGAGGUGAAAUUCGUAGAUAUUCGCAAGAACACCAGUGGCGAAGGCGGCUUACUGGUCCGGUUCUGACGCUGAGGCGCGAAAGCGUGGGGAGCAAACAGG
rnacentral:rRNA from 1 species